rnacentral:rRNA from 1 species
GACGAACGCUGGCGGCGUGCUUAACACAUGCAAGUCGAACGGAAAGGCCUCUUUCGUGGGGUACUCGAGUGGCGAACGGGUGAGUAACACGUGAGUAACCCGCCCUUUACUUUGGGAUAACUUCAGGAAACUGGGGCUAAUACCGGAUAGGAGCUCCUGCUGCAUGGUGGGGGUUGGAAAGUUUCGGCGGUUGGGGGUGGACUCGCGGCGUAUCAGCUUGUUGGUGGGGUAGUGGCUUACCAAGGCUUUGACGGGUAGCCGGCCUGGGAGGGUGACCGGCCACAUUGGGACUGGGGUACGGCCCAGGCUCCUAAGGGGGGCAGCAGUGGGGAAUAUUGCAAAAUGGGUGGAAGGCUGGUGCAGCAACGCCGUGGGGGGGAUGACGGGCUUCGGGGUGUAAACCGGUUUUGCUCAUGACGAAGCUUUGUGUGACGGUAGUGGGUAAAGAAGCACCGGCUAACUACGUG